CUGGCCUGACAACAGAACUCCUGUAAAAGUGUGUUCCCCUCUAUGAGAAUGCACAUACCUCAGGCUAGAAAACUGUCUUUGUCUAAUACCCAGUGGAGCCAUCUGUGUGUUCUUUGUGCUCAAACAGUUGUGAAAUUAAUGGCUGCCAUGGCUUUGCCCAUUCUGUGUGUAUAUCCUAAUCAUUCAUGUUACAUAUGUCACUUGGACUUUUGCUAAACUAUUAAUAGUGAAUAUAAAUUAAUGAGGAGAUUGAAUCUAUCCCAGCAGGCAGAGAAAGUGACUUAAAGAGACAGGGGCCUAUCCUUAGUCACAGACUCAGUGAAGAGAGGCAAUAUACCAUUGAGAAGUGAGAUCAGAAACUGCGCAUUCUACACUUUUAUUUAGACAAGACUGCUAUGUGGAAAUGAAAAGGAGAAAGAAAAGUAGCAAAAAUAGAUAUUGCUCUAAAAGCAAGAAUAAUCAUUAUUGUUUUGUGGGGUUUCAGAAAUUCAUAAAUUCAUGUCUUAUUCUGAGUGAGAAAUUCUCCAUGGAGAAGCUUAUUAAAUGAAAAACGUUCUGGAAACAGUUGAAUUUGAUACUUGGUAUUUUAGCUCGUCUUUAUAUGUUUUCUUAAUAAAAAGAAAUUCUUUGGUUGUCCAAGAGAAAUGUUAGAAAAAUGUUGCUUUGAUGGUCUUUGAGACCCUUUCUUCCCAGAGAGGCUAAGAGCAUUCAUAGCAGAGGUGUGGCAGCAGGAGGGGUGGGGUGCUGCUGAAUGUCUCUGGUCUCCCUGGGGCUUUCUCUUUGCUAUUGCCAGUGGCUACAAAUGGCCACCAACCCCAGGGAAGUGAAUGGAACAGCAUGUGAGCCAAAGCCUCUUUGUACUCGCUGCCAAUUGCUAGGUGUGAUUGAAUAUUUUGAAAGAAGCCAAUAAGUGAAAAUGGGCAUUUAGCUAGUGCCUUUUAGAAAUGAUCCUUUUCCCUCUUUUUUCCCCUUUUCAAAUAUAUUUGAUGCCAUGGCUUUGGACUCUGCCUACCUCUCUUAUUAUCGGAGCUAUUCAUCCAUCCUAUAAUAGACACAUGGAGGCCCUGCUUUAUCUGACUUUCCAGGCCAUAGUCAUUAAAGUUCACAGCACAGAGGCCCCUUGGUUUCGGGGUCCAGUUACAAGCAUGAAGAAAGCCAGUAUUGUUUUGCAAGAAUGACUGCUGGCACCUUGAACAUUACUGUGUUCUCAGAGUAAAAGAGAGAGUCAUAGUCAAGAGAAGACUGA